UAUGAAGAACGUAGCGAAAUGCGAUAAGUAGUGUGAAUUGCAGAAUUCAGUGAAUCAUCGAAUCUUUGAACGCACAUUGCGCCCUUUGGUAUUCCUUAGGGCAUGCCUGUUCGAGCGUCAUUUAAACCUUCAAGCUAAGCUUGGUGUUGGGUGACUGUCCGCUUCACGGCGGACUCGCCUCAAAAUUAUUGGCGGCCGGUACAUUGGCUUCGAGCGCAGCAGAAACGCGAACUCGGGCCCGUCGUAUUGGCUCCCAGAAGCUAUCUUCACAAUUUUGACCUCGGAUCAGGUAGGGAUACCCGCUGAACUUAAGCAUAUCAAUAAGCGGAGGA
rnacentral:misc_RNA from 1 species